rnacentral:rRNA from 1 species
GAGGAAAGUGGGAGGCGUGCCUAAUACAUGCAAGUCGAGCGAACAGACGAGGAGCUUGCUCCUCUGACGUUAGCGGCGGACGGGUGAGUAACACGUGGAUAACCUACCUAUAAGACUGGGAUAACUUCGGGAAACCGGAGCUAAUACCGGAUAAUAUAUUGAACCGCAUGGUUCAAUAGUGAAAGACGGUUUUGCUGUCACUUAUAGAUGGAUCCGCGCCGCAUUAGCUAGUUGGUAAGGUAACGGCUUACCAAGGCAACGAUGCGUAGCCGACCUGAGAGGGUGAUCGGCCACACUGGAACUGAGACACGGUCCAGACUCCUACGGGAGGCAGCAGUAGGGAAUCUUCCGCAAUGGGCGAAAGCCUGACGGAGCAACGCCGCGUGAGUGAUGAAGGUCUUCGGAUCGUAAAACUCUGUUAUUAGGGAAGAACAAAUGUGUAAGUAACUAUGCACGUCUUGACGGUACCUAAUCAGAAAGCCACGGCUAACUACGUG